CAUGUGUAGAAAUAGAAAUAAUGAGGGUAUUUGGGUUGAUGCUGUUUCUGAUUUUUUGAAGGAGCUGCAGUUGAUUUUCUGGUCUUAAUAGAAUGGAGAUCCGGACCCAGAGAAGGAAGACGUUGGGUGACGACACCCAUUGCUUAACUACAGGUUUUAAUGAGAACUGUCCUCCAGGAAAAGAAAUUCGAUCCUCUGAAAAACAGUCUUAGAAUAUAGAGGAAAUGGCAGAUUUUUGGACAACUUUCAUCUGUGAAUAUUAAAGAUACUUUGUAGCUGGAAAUCGUUUUGUGAAUAGAAACUUGUAAAUUUUUAAAAGAUUUUAUUGAUUUAUUUGAGAGAGAGAGAGAAAGCACAAGCAGGGGGGAAGGGCAGAGGCAGAGGGAGAGGCAGACUCCCCACUGAGCAGGGAGCCCGAUGUGGGGCUCAAUUCCAGGACCUUGAGAUCACGACCUGAGCCGAAGGCAGCCACCCAACCGACUGAGGCACCCAGGCGCCCCGAAACUUGUAAUUUUCUUGCCUAACGACUACAGUAAUUCUCCAGGAGCGACGAGCAUAAGUGAUGUCUUGAUAUGUGUGCAGCAACCGUGAUGUGAUCUGCGAACGCGGGAGAUUCCUCUUGCUUGUGGUCACAGGUGCUGCGACAUGUUGUUUAUAUUCAUCAUGGAAGGAAAUACUACACUGCAUUCCGAAGCUGGUGGAAAUAAAGAAGUGCUUGUUUUCCCACCCAAGUUCACAGAUGUCUGCCGAGCCCACGUUGAGAACCCCUGCCUCCGUCCAAGCCACCAUCUGUGGAUGGUGCCACGCUCUCCCAUUGGAUGCACUGCACGCACUUGCCCACAUCCAAACCAUCCUCCGCUUGACACCCAAGGUAGUGUUUUCAAAAUGCAAAAUUUGGUGUCACCUGUCCCCCACCCACUUACACCUGCAUUGCUCUGAGAAUGGAUACCAAAAGGCCUCGGUCUUGGCCAUGGGUGUCCCGUGUCAUGGGUUCCCUGCAUCCUCUUUGACCUCAGGGCUUUUGCAUGUGUGGUCCUCUGCUGGGAAUGCUCCCCUGGCCCUUCCUCAUGGCGUUAACUCUUUAGGUCAGCUCAACCAUCGCUUACUCAAGGAAGACUUCUCUGGCCUCCCUGAAACUUCCAGGGGCUCUCCCACCAUAGCCCCCUCAUUCCUAAGAGGUGAUGUCGCAUUUAUUUCUGUGAUCCUUUGACUAAUGUCUUUGUGCACUCACCGGCUGUGGGCUCUACAAGAAUCAGGUUCUAUGCUGUCUCUAGGACAGUGCCUGGCACCUAGUAGAACCUUAUUAAAUAUGUGUAGAAUGAAGGAAUGAAUGAAUAAAUCAUUCUUUUUUUUUUAAA